rnacentral:rRNA from 1 species
UGACAGAAUACUCGCUGAAUUUAAGCAUAUUGCUAAGCGAAGGAAAAGAAACCAACAGGGAUUUCAUUAGUAGUGGCGAACGAACUUGAAAUAUUGUCCAAGACUUAAAAUCUAGGGUGCCGUAGAGUGCUCUCGAAUUGUAAUCUAACGAAGUCGACGCCUCAGAUUGAGGGACGUUUAAGUGGCUAUCUUAGAAUAGUCCGCCGUAGAGAGUGCAAGCCUCGUGAAGCGGCCUCUCUUUUUGAUCGGAGUCGAUUUUAACGAGUCGAGUUGUUUGAGAAUGCAACUCUAAUAUCGGUAUUAGUUAAUAUCGAAGACUAAAUAUUGGGAAGAGACCAAUAGCAUAAAAGUACUGUGAAGGAAAGGUGAAAAGAACUUUGAAAAAAGAGUGAAAAGUGCAUGAAAUUGCUCAGAGAGGAACUUGAUUCGAUUUGUUUAGAGCUUAUGUGGAUUAUUCAAACUGACUGCGGUUAGUUGAUUUAGUCAUACAACACAUAAGAUCAAUUUAUGAGCCGCUUAUGAUCAAAAGCGAAAUGGCAGUGUGGCGUUCUUCGCAAGAAUUGCGUCGAUGUUGUUUUGGCGGGGUCAGUAAGUACUCAUACAAACAAAAACCUAAAGUGACUACGGUCGCUGUAUUUGAUUGAGAUACGAGUCUACUUUAUCGACAUUAGACUGACUGAAGUUUCACUACUCGACCAUUUAUGGGCGAUAGGAGGUGGAUGGCAGUUUGGUGACAUAGGGAGAGACGCGUUAGGUAGAAAUUGAUUAAAAGGUCGAAUUAGACCCGUCUUGUAACACGGACCAAGGAGUCUAACAUGUAUGCGAAACUACGGGUUAUAAACCUUAGUAAGUUAUAGCGAAAGCGAAUGUGAGGAAACACCUCUAGCCGGCUUCUCCUCGUAGAGAAGUUGUGCCUGAGUUUACAUGAUGGGACCCGAAAGAUGUUGAACUAAGCUUGAACCGUACAAAGUCAGGAGAAAUUCUGAUGGAGGUACGAAGCGAUACUGACGUGCAAAUCGUUCGUCUGAUUUGAGUUUAGGGGCGAAAGACCAAUCGAAACAUUUGGUAGCUGGUUUACAUUGAAAUUUCCCUCAGGAUAGCUGAGACUAAUGGGAAUUAUAUUCGCAUGACCAUUUUUAUCUUGUAAAGCGAAUGAUUAGAAGCCUUGGGUAUUACUUUACUCAACUUAUUCUCAAACUUUGAAAGGGUAAAGUCGUAAUAUUUCAGAAAUGAAUAUUAUUGUGUCACGAAAGUGAACACACAAAAGAAUGGAAUAGUCUUUAGUGGACCAUUCUUGGUAAGCAGGACUGGUGAUGUGGGAUGAACCAAACGUUGAGUUAAGGUGCACAAAUGUAGGCUAAUCAAGAUCCCAAAAAGGGUGUUGAUCUUUUGAGACAGCAGGAAGGUGGUCAUGGAAGUCGAAAUCCUCUAAGUAUCGUGUAACAACGAACCUGCCUAAUGGAUUAGCCCCGAAAAUCGAUUGCGCUUAAGCCUGCAACCGAAACUUGACCGUUCAUUGAGUAUUAUGAUUUAAGAUAAAAUCAGUAAAUCUGAUAAUUGAACGAGUAAAUGUACGUGAAGGUGACGGAAAAGGAUGGGAGUGAUCCAAUCUGAAGUCGCCUUUAGUGUAGAUCUUGGUGGUAGUAGCAAUUAUUCAAAUGAAAAAUUUGAAGAUCGAAGCAGAGAAAGGUUUCAGGCGAACGUUGUUCGAACCUGAGUUAGUCGAUCCUAAUAUGGAGAUUAACUUUGUUAAAGAUACAGAGGGCCCUUUACGGGGUCAAUAUCGACCUGUAUCCAAGUCUCAUAGAAAGGGAAAUAGUUUAAAUUAUACUAUACAUGUAGAUAAGGAAUCUGGGGCGACCCACAGCGCUGACUUGACAAUGUUCCCCUACAACUGGAGAGUUAUCUAUUCUCCUUAAAUGGAACUAGCUGAAAUUCAGUCCAUUGAAGCGGCUCGCCUGAAGCUGUGGAUUGAAACCAUGGAUAAAGUCGCAACUUAUAUGCGACUUAUCUUAAUGGAAUUGUUAGGGGAAUGUUCCUAGAAAAAAGUUAGCUAGAGACUCGUCGGUUGUCAGUAGGCAAUGAAAGCGACAGACGAGAAUUCCUAUUCAUACAUAUCGUACUCAUAACCGCAACAGGUCUCUAAGUUUUAUUAACUCUGAUCAACAAGUGAAUGUAAAUAAGGGAAGUCGGCAAAUUAAACCUGUAACUUUGGGAAAAAGGUUGGCUCUAAUGAUCGAGCAUCAGGUGACUCCAAGAUGUUUGAGUACCGUUAAGGGUGAUAGUAGUAGACUUGUCUACGAGGUUACUUUGGGAAAACCAUUUUGGUCACUUACAGUGAGAGGCGUUAAAACCUUGAGCUGUAUUUUAUCUCCCCUUGCUAUUAGCGAUUAAAUUAGAACUGUUACGAACAAGAAGAAUCCGACUGUUUAAUUAAAACAAAGCGUUGUGAUGUAUCGAAAAUGUAGAUGACACAACGUGAUUUCUGCCCAGUGCUCUGAAUGUGAAUUUAUAGAAAUGUACCAAAGCGCGGGUAAACGGCGGGAGUAACUAUGACUCUCUUAAGGUAGCCAAAUGCCUCGUCUUAUAAUUAGAGACGUGCACGAAUGGAUCAACGAGACUCUUACUGUCCCUAAUUACCACUUGGCGAACUCACUGUCAGGGGAACGGGCCUGACGAAAAAUAUGGGGAAAGAAGACCCUUUUGAGCUUAACUCUAGUCAGACAUUGUGAAGCGACGCGAAAGGUAUAGUUAUAAGUGGGAGUCGCAGACGAACUUGAAAUACCACUACUUUUGUAGUUGUUUUACUUAAUUUUUAUAUAGAAUGAGCGCUUUGCGCUCACUUCAAGGAGCAACUUUGAUCACACAUUACCGUGAACUGUAACGGCCUGAUUACGCUGAGUAUAUCGCUAUUGGGUCGUGUCCUUCAGGAACGAUAUUGUUGGCUAGCGGAGGUGCCUCCGCGAAUCAACUUUCACCGCCUGUUGGAACCGGAUAAUCUCUGUGUCAUGGGAUCUAUAAAAAUGACAUUGUCUGGUGGGGAGUUUGGCUGGGGCGGCACAUAGAAUAAACGAUAACUUCUGUGUCCAAAGUAACACUCAAUGAGAACGGAAAUCUCAUGUAGAAUAAAAGGGUAAAAGUGUUAUUGAUGUGAAUUUUCAGUAUGAAUGCACACCGUGAAAGCGCGGCCUAUCGAUCCUUAAUCUUUUAUUAACUAAAGUUUGAGGUGUCAGAAAAGUUACCAUAGGGAUAACUGGCUUGUGGCGGCCAAGAGUCCAUAUCGACGUCGCUUUUUGAUCCUUCGAUGUCGGCUCUUCUUAGCCUUCGAAAGCAGAAUUUCGAAAGGGUGUGAUUGUUCACCACUCAAAAAGGAACGUGAGCUGGGUUUAGACCGUCGUGAGACAGGUUAGUUUUACCCUGUAUUUGAGUAACAAAUGUAAGAGUCACAACAGUAAUUCGAUUUAGUACGA